rnacentral:rRNA from 1 species
AAUGAACGUUGGCGGCAUGGAUUAGGCAUGCAAGUCGUGCGAGAAGUCUAUUUUUGCUUGCAUUAAUGGACGGACAGCGGCGAAAGGGUGAGUAACGCGUGGAUUACCAACCCCCAGGUACGGAAUAGCGGCGGGAAACUGCCGGUAAUGCCGUAUAAUAUCUCCGGAUCAAAGCUCCGGCGCCUGGGGACGGGUCCGCGUACCAUUAGCUUGUUGGUGGGGUAAAGGCCUACCAAGGCUAAGAUGGUUAGCGGGCGUGAGAGCGUGGCCCGUCACACUGGGACUGAGACACUGCCCAGACACCUACGGGUGGCUGCAGUCGAGAAUCUUUGUCAAUGGGCGAAAGCCUGAACAAGCGAUGCCGCGUGCGGGAUGAAGGCCUUCGGGUUGUAAACCGCUGUCAGAGGGGAGCAAAUUUUGAGCGAUCCUCAGAGGAAGCCCGGGCUAAGUUCGUGCCAGCAGCCGCGGUAAUACGAACCGGGCGAACGUUAUUCGGAAUUACUGGGCUUAAAGGGUGCGUAGGCGGCGCUUCAAGUCGGGUGUGAAAUCCCCCAGCUCAACUGGGGAACUGCGCCCGAAACUGGAGUGCUCGAGGGAGAUAGAGGUGAGCGG